GACGAACGCUGGCGGCGUGCCUAAUACAUGCAAGUGGGACGCAAGGGAACACACUGUGCUUGCACACCGUGUUUUCUUGAGUCGCGAACGGGUGAGUAACGCGUAGGUAACCUGCCUAUUAGCGGGGGAUAACUAUUGGAAACGAUAGCUAAUACCGCAUAAUAUUAAUUAUUGCAUGAUAAUUGAUUGAAAGAUGCAAGCGCAUCACUAGUAGAUGGACCUGCGUUGUAUUAGCUAGUUGGUAAGGUAAGAGCUUACCAAGGCGACGAUACAUAGCCGACCUGAGAGGGUGAUCGGCCACACUGGGACUGAGACACGGCCCAGACUCCUACGGGAGGCAGCAGUAGGGAAUCUUCGGCAAUGGACGAAAGUCUGACCGAGCAACGCCGCGUGAGUGAAGAAGGUUUUCGGAUCGUAAAGCUCUGUUGUAAGUCAAGAACGUGUGUGAGAGUGGAAAGUUCACACAGUGACGGUAGCUACCAGAAA
rnacentral:rRNA from 1 species